UACAGAGGUCUCAAGCGUUGUUCGGAUUCAUUGGGCGUAAAGGGUGCGUAGGUGGCGCUGUAAGUCAGGUGUGAAAUUUCGGAGCUUAACUCCGAAACUGCAUUCGAUACUGCCGUGCUUGAGGACUGGAGAGGAGACUGGAAUUUACGGUGUAGCGGUGAAAUGCGUAGAUAUCGAUAAGGAAGACCAGUGGCGAAGGCGGGUCUCUGGACAGUUCCUGACACUGAGACACGAAGGCCAGGG
rnacentral:rRNA from 1 species